rnacentral:tRNA from 1 species
AUUGCUUUGGCAGAAUAGUGCAAUAAAUUUAGAAUUUAUGUAUGUAAUUUACUUUACAGGCAGUA